rnacentral:lncRNA from 1 species
CUUUCCGUUACCAACAGGAAAUUUUCACAGACUUUUAGGGUCAUUUAGAUAAAACUUCCAUUUCAACGUGUAACACCUUAUAGUCAGCGUGGUAGAAUAAACUGCAAUAAACAUGAAGUAACCAGACUAGUUAGCAAUCACCCGCAGACACACACCUGUCUCCUCCAUAAGCUGUUAGACUUCAACAGGACACAAAAACAAGCCCUUGAAAAACCCGUGGCCCUUUACGAUUUAAGCUGAUGAUGAUCUUUCCUAGCAGAAACUCAACAGAUGAGACAACAAGCCGGAGAUAUGCUCAAAAAUAAAAACCAGUAUUUGGUGAAGAUCAAGGCACAGCUCACAAUGUCUGAUCAAAGGUGUCUGAAGGGCUGAACCCUUACAUGUACACCCAGGAGAGAGAACUAGGAUGAGAACUUCGGGAUUCCUUUAAAAUCAGAUCUUGGGAUUCAUCAGACAAAUGUCAGCAAUCUGGCUACUUUUUCAAGAUUUUCUGCAGUCUUCUCAUCUUCCCUGUUGAUUAAAAAUUCUUGUUCGUCUACUGGGCAACAUUAAGGUGUUUUUAGAACAUCACUAGUUGGCCGGGUGCAAUGGCUUAGGCCUAUAAUCUCAGCACUUAAGGAGCUGAGGCAGGAGGACUGUUUGAGGCCAGGAGAUUGAGAACAACCUGGGCAACAUAGAGGGCCCCAUCUCUACAAAAUUUUUUAAAAAAUUAUCUGGGUGUGGGCCGGGCGCGGUGGCUCACGCCUGUAAUCCCAGCACUUUGGGAGGCCAAGGUGGGUGGAUCACGAGGUCAGGAGAUCCAGACCAUCCUGGCUAACAUGGUGAAACCCCGUCUCUACUAAAAAAUACAAAAAAUUAGCCGGGUGUGGUGGUGGGCGCCUGUAGUCCCAGCUACUUGGGAGGCUGAGGCAGGAGAAUGGCGUGAACCCGGGAGGCAGAACUUGUAAUGAGCCGAGAUCGCGACA